AUUGAACGCUGGCGGCAGGCCUAACACAUGCAAGUCGAACGAGUGGCGGACGGGUGAGUAAUGCUUGGGAAACUGCCUGAUGGAGGGGGAUAACUACGGGAAACGGUAGCUAAUACCGCAUACCAUCGGAUGUGCCCAGAUGGGAUUAGCUUGUUGGUGGGGUAACGGCCUACCAAGGCGACGAUCCCUAGCUGGUCUGAGAGGAUGACCAGCCACACCGGGACUGAGACACGGCCCGGACUCCUACGGGAGGCAGCAGUGGGGAAUAUUGCGCAAUGGGCGCAAGCCUGAUACAGCCAUGCCGCGUGUAUGAAGAAGGCCUUCGGGUUGUAAAGUACUUUCGGCGAGGAGGCGUUACCCGCAGAAGAAGCACCGGCUAACUCCGUGCCAGCAGCCGCGGUAAUUC
rnacentral:rRNA from 1 species